AGAAUCAACGCUGGCGGCGUGCCUAACACAUGCAAGUCGAACGAGAAAGCGGGGGUAACUCCGUGAGUAAAGUGGCGUACGGGUGAGUAACACGUAGCUAACCUACCCUCGAGUGAGGAAUAACCUGGGGAAACUCGGGCUAAUACCCCAUAAUAUCCGGAUUGCGCAAGCAGUCUGGAGCAAAGGCCCGCAAGGGCCGCUUGAGGAGGGGGCUGCGGCCGAUUAGCUAGUUGGUGAGGUAACGGCCCACCAAGGCGAUGAUCGGUAGCCGGCCUGAGAGGGCGCACGGCCACACUGGCACUGAAACACGGGCCAGACUCCUACGGGAGGCAGCAGUGGGGAAUUUUGCACAAUGUCCGAAAGGGUGAUGCAGCAACGCCGCGUGAGGGAUGAAGGUCCUCGGAUCGUAAACCUCUUUCGACCGGGAAAACGGGCGGGUGAAUAAUCCGUCCUGAUGGUACCGGUGGAAGAAGCCCCGGCUAACUACGCGCCAGCAGCCGCGGU
rnacentral:rRNA from 1 species